ensembl:misc_RNA 7SK 7SK RNA
CAAAGUGAGGGUGAUCUGGCUGCAACAUUGGUCACCCCAUCAAUUGCCAGGGUUGAUUCAGCUGAUCUGGCUGGCUAGGUGGGCGUUCCCUUCCUCCCUCCCCACUCCAUGUGUGUCCCUCCCAAAGCUGCACGCUCAGUCAAAGAGGACGGCCAUCCUCGAUACAGGAGGACCAGUUUUCAGUCAAGGGUAUAUGAGUAGCUACGCCCUCCUGCUAGAAUCUCCAAACAAGCUCUCAAGAGUGGAAGAGAGACAUUAGCAAAUUUGUGCAAGAAAGACAGCACAUGGAGGAACAGUGGUU